rnacentral:rRNA from 1 species
GAUGAACGCUGGCGGCGUGCCUAAUACAUGCAAGUCGAGCGAACGGACGAGAAGCUUGCUUCUCUGAUGUUAGCGGCGGACGGGUGAGUAACACGUGGAUAACCUACCUAUAAGACUGGGAUAACUUCGGGAAACCGGAGCUAAUACCGGAUAAUAUUUUGAACCGCAUGGUUCAAAAGUGAAAGACGGUCUUGCUGUCACUUAUAGAUGGAUCCGCGCUGCAUUAGCUAGUUGGUAAGGUAACGGCUUACCAAGGCAACGAUGCAUAGCCGACCUGAGAGGGUGAUCGGCCACACUGGAACUGAGACACGGUCCAGACUCCUACGGGAGGCAGCAGUAGGGAAUCUUCCGCAAUGGGCGAAAGCCUGACGGAGCAACGCCGCGUGAGUGAUGAAGGUCUUCGGAUCGUAAAGCUGUGUUAUUAGGGAAGAACAUAUGUGUAAGUAACUGUGCACAUCUUGACGGUACCUAAUCAGAAAGCCACGGCUAACUACGUG